GGGACUGAGCAUGUAGCCUUGGCAGAGAGCUAUUCCACAGGCAGGGAAUGGACAUUGCGAAGGACGCGAGCCCUCCCUCCCGCCUAUGGUACCGGUACCGGUACCGGGCUGGCAGGGAAGAGACCCCGGAAGGGGGACGCAGGGCAGCGCCAGGGACAACGCAGCCGGUGUGUCCUGAUCUCCUCAGACAUGGAUGGCAGGGCCUGGGGCUCCAAGGCUCACUGGCUCCCACGUCUGGCGUUCAGUGCUGGCAGAGGCUGGGAUCUCGGUCACACCCACACAUGGCCUUUCUGCUCGAAACAACCUCAGCUCAACAACCUUGGUAACAGGAAACAACCUCAGGAAUACAACAGAUUGCUGGGAGAUGUGAAUACAUCAAAAGUACAGGGACUGAGCAGGAUCGCCUAGGUUACAAAUAAAUAAAUAAAAUCUCCAAAU
ensembl:lncRNA